rnacentral:rRNA from 1 species
UGGGGAAUAUUGGACAAUGGGGGAAACCCUGAUCCAGCCACGCCGCGUGAGUGAUGAAGGCCUUCGGGUCGUAAAGCUCUGUGGGGAGGGACGAACGUCCCCGUGAAGAACGGGGGGUGACGGUACCUCCUUAGCAAGCACCGGCUAACUUCGUGCCAGCAGCCGCGGUAAUACGAAGGGUGCAAACGUUGCUCGGAAUCAUUGGGCGUAAAGCGCACGUAGGCGGCUUAUCAAGUCGGAUGUGAAAUCCCUCGGCUCAACCGAGGACGUGCAUCCGAAACUGGUGAGCUCGAGUAUGGAAGAGGGUCGCAGAAUUCCCGGUGUAGAGGUGAAAUUCGUAGAUAUCGGGAGGAAUACCAGUGGCGAAGGCGGCGACCUGGGCCAAUACUGACGCUGAGGU